rnacentral:rRNA from 1 species
GAUGAACGCUGGCGGCGUGCCUAACACAUGCAAGUCGAACGGAGCUGCUUUGAUGAAGUUUUCGGAUGGAUUUAAAACAGCUUAGUGGCGGACGGGUGAGUAACGCGUGGGUAACCUGCCUCACACUGGGGGAUAACAGUUAGAAAUAGCUGCUAAUACCGCAUAAGCGCACGGUUCCGCAUGGAACAGUGUGAAAAACUCCGGUGGUGUGAGAUGGACCCGCGUCUGAUUAGCCAGUUGGCGGGGUAACGGCCCACCAAAGCGACGAUCAGUAGCCGGCCUGAGAGGGUGAACGGCCACAUUGGGACUGAGACACGGCCCAAACUCCUACGGGAGGCAGCAGUGGGGAAUAUUGCACAAUGGGGGAAACCCUGAUGCAGCGACGCCGCGUGAGUGAAGAAGUAUUUCGGUAUGUAAAGCUCUAUCAGCAGGGAAGAAAGUGACGGUACCUGAAUAAGAAGCCCCGGCUAACUACGUGCCAGCAGCCGCGGUAAUACGUAGGGGGCAAGCGUUAUCCGGAUUUACUGGGUGUAAAGGGAGCGUAGACGGCAAGGCAAGUCUGAAGUGAAAGCCCGGUGCUUAACGCCGGGACUGCUUUGGAAACUGUUUGGCUGGAGUGCCGGAGAGGUAAGCGGAAUUCCUAGUGUAGCGGUGAAAUGCGUAGAUAUUAGGAAGAACACCAGUGGCGAAGGCGGCUUACUGGACGGUAACUGACGUUGAGGCUCGAAAGCGUGGGGAGCAAACAGGAUUAGAUACCCUGGUAGUCCACGCCGUAAACGAUG